AAACGGCAACCAUGAGAUUUUUAAUCAAAUAGGUGUAAGACGCUACCAUGUUUCUAGGGCAGAGGAGGACAGUGCUCUCUUAACAUAGUUGGCACCUAACGUGGGUGGAUCUAAGAGCGACACUGCUUCUGGAUUGGCAGCCCAUGCGUUAAAAUCUGAUACCACCAAGAAGCAAAUGAAGUCAUUCAAUAUUGCCUUAUCUACUGCCAAAAGGAUUUGAGGAGCCCUACAGAUGAAAACAUCAGAGGAGACAUCUAAAAAAGCAUCCUGGUGCCUCUUGGCCCUGCUUGCCUCUUCUGUGUCUUCCUGAGGGAACACUGGUGGGGGAGAAGCAAGAGGGCCUGUCACAGACAAGCUCGCCGAGCAGGCCUGUUUCAGAGCCCACCGACUGUGGGUGGCUCUCCACCUGUAGCAGGAGAGCCCACAGGAGGAGUUGCCCCGGAAACUGCUCAGAAUGAAGUAAUUCGUUUACCAUCAUUUCUUUGGGAUGUUUUCUCUAAUGCACCAGAUUGACCUACCAUUCCUCCUCUUUCUCCCCUGCUGUAACACAUACAUAUAGAUCAAUAUGUCUUGGCCCCCAGACUCUAAGUUUGGAGAAACCAGUCCAUUUUGUGUUGUUUGCAUUUGUGUUACCCAGCAAAACUAAAAUUAACUAAACUUAUUGUGGUAAUCAUUUCACAAUAUAUGUAAGCCAAACCAUUGUGCACCUUCCACUUAUACAGUGAUGUAUGUCAAUGAUAUCUCACUAAAACUAGAAGAAACAAAACCAAA
rnacentral:lncRNA from 1 species